rnacentral:rRNA from 1 species
GACGAACCGUGCAAACGUUAUUCGGAAUCACUGGGCUUAAAGGGCGCGUAGGCGGCUUGUCAAGUCAGGGGUGAAAUCUUUCGGCUUAACCGGAAAAGUGCCUCUGAUACUGGCAGGCUCGAGGGAGGCAGGGGCAUGUGGAACUUCCGGUGGAGCGGUGAAAUGCGUUGAUAUCGGAAGGAACGCCGGUGGCGAAAGCGACGUGCUGGACCUCUUCUGACGCUGAGGCGCGAAAGCUAGGGGAGCGAACGG